rnacentral:tRNA from 1 species
UCCCUUUUGGUCCAGUGGUUAAGACUCUGAGUUUCCAAUGCAGAAGGCACAGGUUCAAUUCCUGGCCAGGGAA